rnacentral:rRNA from 1 species
AUUGAACGCUGGCGGCAUGCCUAACACAUGCAAGUCGAACGGAGGUAGGGGCAACUCUACUUCAGUGGCGGACGGGUGAGGAAUGCGUCGGAAUCUACCCUAUGGUGGGGGAUAACACAGGGAAACUUGUGCUAAUACCGCAUAAUGUCGAGAGACCAAAGCAGGGGACCGCAAGGCCUUGCGCGAUAGGAUGAGCCGACGCCCGAUUAGCUAGUUGGUAGGGUAAAGGCCUACCAAGGCGACGAUCGGUAGCUGGUCUGAGAGGAUGAUCAGCCACACUGGGACUGAGACACGGCCCAGACUCCUACGGGAGGCAGCAGUGGGGAAUAUUGGACAAUGGGCGCAAGCCUGAUCCAGCAAUGCCGCGUGUGUGAAGAAGGCCUGCGGGUUGUAAAGCACUUUUGUUCGGGAAGAAAUCAUGCUGGUUAAUACCUGGUAUGGAUA